GCCGGCAUAGCUCAGCGGUAGAGCAUCCGCCUUGUAAGCGGAAGGUCCUCGGUUCGAUCCCGAGUGCCGGCUCCA
rnacentral:tRNA from 1 species